ACCCUGGUGUUUUUUAACACCACCCUUUUCACAAGAAAAAAUCAG
rfam:Phytophthora ramorum strain Pr102 Scaffold59 genomic scaffold, whole genome shotgun sequence.